CAGCUGGUCCUUUUUCCAAUAUCAGUAAAGAUGAACUACACUGAAAUCAAGGGAGUAACAGUAGAAAAUCAGUUUUUGAGGAAGAAAGGGCUUCCUUGAAAGUGCUGCAAAGCCCUGGUGAUCUGUGUCCAGUAGCAUUGCCAGCAUCUUUCAACUCCUCUCUGACACCAGUCCUUCAAGAUGGAAUCUCUCUUCAGAGCUCCAAAAGAAUUAUCAUACAUUUCCACUCAACCAGCUGAGAUUUUCCAGGUGCUUUCAGUGAUGCUGGGAGACAACAGUCGCUGUAAGUGAUCUGCCAGAGUAACUUACACUCGUAGUAACAUUGCUGAGGACUUCCUGAUGUUCUCAAUGAUAACAGUAGUCCUUUUGUAGAAGGAACUCUUUUGAGAUUACAAUGAAUACUCAUGGUUCUACAGCUGUCUCUUCUUCCAUGUCUGAUAAAAUAGGUAGUCCUCCCUG